rnacentral:rRNA from 1 species
UACAGGGGGGGCAAGCGUUGUUCGGAAUUACUGGGCGUAAAGCGCGCGUAGGCGGCUUUGUAAGUUAGAGGUGAAAGCCCGGAGCUCAACUCCGGAACUGCCUUUAAAACUGCAUCGCUUGAAUCCAGGAGAGGUGAGUGGAAUUCCGAGUGUAGAGGUGAAAUUCGUAGAUAUUCGGAAGAACACCAGUGGCGAAGGCGGCUCACUGGACUGGUAUUGACGCUGAGGUGCGAAAGCGUGGGGAGCAAACAGG